rnacentral:rRNA from 1 species
GAUGAACGCUGGCGGCGUGCUUAACACAUGCAAGUCGAACGGAAAGGCUCCUGCUUGCAGGGGUACUCGAGUGGCGAACGGGUGAGUAACACGUGGGUGAUCUGCCCUGCACUUCGGGAUAAGCCUGGGAAACUGGGUCUAAUACCGGAUAGGACGAUGGUUUGGAUGCCAUUGUGGAAAGUUUUUCGGUGUGGGAUGAGCUCGCGGGCUAUCAGCUUGUUGGUGGGGUAAUGGCCUACCAAGGCGUCGACGGGUAGCCGGCCUGAGAGGGUGUACGGCCACAUUGGGACUGAGAUACGGACCAGACUCCUACGGGAGGCAGCAGUGGGGAAUAUUGCACAAUGGGCGCAAGCCUGAUGCAGCGACGCCGCGUGGGGGAUGACGGCCUUCGGGUUGUAAACUCCUUUCGCUAGGGACGAAGCGCAAGUGACGGUACCUGGAGAAGAAGCACCGGCUAACUACGUG